rnacentral:rRNA from 1 species
UAGGGAAUCUUCCGCAAUGGACGCAAGUCUGACGGAGCAACGCCGCGUGAGUGAAGAAGGAUUUCGGUUCGUAAAACUCUGUUGUUAGAGAAGAACAGCGCAUAGAGUAACUGUUAUGCGUGUGACGGUAUCUAACCAGAAAGCCACGGCUAACUACGUGCCAGCAGCCGCGGUAAUACGUAGGUGGCAAGCGUUGUCCGGAUUUAUUGGGCGUAAAGCGAGCGCAGGCGGUCAAUUAAGUCUGAUGUGAAAGCCCCCGGCUCAACCGGGGAGGGUCAUUGGAAACUGGUGGACUUGAGUGCAGAAGAGGAGAGUGGAAUUCCAUGUGUAACGGUGAAAUGCGUAGAUAUAUGGAGGAACACCAGUGGCGAAGGCGACUCUCUGGUCUGUAACUGACGCGGAGGCUCGAAAGCGUGGGUAGCAAACAGG